CACGUAGGGAGCAAGCGUUGUCCGGAUUUAUUGGGCGUAAGGAGCUCGUAGGCUGUUCGAUAAGUCGGGUGUGAAACCUCCAGGCUCAACCUGGAGACGCCACCCGAUACUGUCAUGACUAGAGUCCGGUAGGGGAGCGUGGAAUUCCUGGUGUAGCGGUGAAAUGCGCAGAUAUCAGGAGGAACACCAGCGGCGAAGGCGGCGCUCUGGGCCGGUACUGACGCUGAGGAGCGAAAGCGUGGGUAGCAAACAGG
rnacentral:rRNA from 1 species